UAUAUGUUUCGAAAUGUUUUUAUAAAAAUUAAAAUAUAAAAUUUGUAUAAAAAAAAUGAAUUUUGUGAAGGUUUUUAACUUAUUGACUUUUACUUUUUACUCUCAGACGUUUUUUUACUUUUUCUCCAUUUUUUCUCUUCUCUUUUUUUUCUUGACCUAGCAUCCCAUUUUUCUUCUUCCUCUAUUAUUUUUCUCCUUUUUUUCUUGUGUUAAGUUUUUCUUCUCUGCGCUCCAUAAUUGUAAAUCUCAGGUACUAUUACAUAUUUUAUUCACUUUUACUUUUUACUCUCAAAACGUUUUUCACUUUUUCCUCAUUUUUUUUCUUUUCUUUUGACCUAGCAGCCGCAUUCCAUUUUUCUUCUUCCCUUAUUCUUCUUCUCCUUUUCUUCUUGUUGUAUUAAGUUCUUCUUCUCUGCACAGGUACUAUUACAUAUUUGAUUAGAUUUGCAUGUUUAGAUUUUACAUAGUUAUAUAUAAAUAUUGGUUUGGUUUGUGCUGUGAGAAAAAUAGUGAUGUAUUGAUCUGGAAAAACAUGAAAGAAAGAGAAAAAAGUGAAGCUUAUUUUUAGUCAUUGUAGUUCAAUAGGUUUGGAAAACCAUGGGGUGCACAAUUUUAAUAUUUUUUUAAUUAUUGAAAACCAUAUAGAUUUGGAGAACCCUUUCUCGAUGAAUAAUUUUUUUUUAAUUAUUGAAAAG
rnacentral:lncRNA from 1 species